AUGAGCGGCGGCGCGUCUCCCCCCGCCACUCCGGCGGCAUCGACGCCGGCGGCGACGAGGCCUCGCCUGUCGAGGUUCCGCCGGGCCGGCAGCGCCGUCGCGGCCGCCGCACCGGGAGGCUUCCUCCACCUCUCCCUCCUCGCCUCCCUCCGCCGCCGGCCCUCCCUCCAGGCGCACGCGCAGCUCCUCCUCCUCGGCCUCCCGCUCCCGGCGCACGCCGCCUCGCGCCUCCUCCGCCCGCACCUCCGGUCGGGGCACCACCUCGCCUCGCUCCGCCUCUUCCUCCGAAUCCUGCGCGACCGUGGACGGCCGCCGAAAGCCUCCCGGGAGACGGAGACGGAGGCCGUCCCCAACUCCCACUCCCUCUCCGCCGCCCUCGCGGCCUGCGCCCACCACGCGUCCCCCUCCCCCGGGCUCUCCGCCCACGCCUUCCUCGUCAAGUCCGGCUACGCCUCCGACCUCUUCGCCGCCAACUCCCUGCUCCACUUCUACGCGUCCUUCGGUCUGCCCUCUCUGGCGCACAGGCUGUUCGAUGAAAUGCCGACAAGGGACACCGUAUCCUUCAACACUCUGAUCGGGUCAUAUGUGCAUGCAUGCUGUGUUGGCGAUGCUUUCGGAGUAUUCAGGGUUAUGGUGGACAGAGGAUUGCGGCCGGAUGGGUGGACCAUCACGGCGUUGUCGGGCGCAUGUGCGGGACUGAAGGAUUUGAGGGUGGCAAAAGCAUUGCACGGGGUUGCCAUGAGAGCGCUUCGGGCUGAACUGUUUCAGUCACAACAGGUGGCGAUCGUGUUGGUGGACAUGUAUGCGAAGUGCAGGGGGGUGGCGCUUGCCAGGAAGGUGUUUGAUUUGGCAGGGGAGAAGGCAAGGGACGUGAGGUUGUGGACCAUGAUGGUGUCAGGGUAUGCAAGGUCUAGGGAGCUUGAGAUGGCUAGAGCGUUAUUCAAUGAGAUGCCAGAGAAGGAUUUGGUCGCAUGGACGGCUCUUAUUGGUGGAUUCGUGCAGUUUGGCAAAUCUAAGGAGGCAUUGAUGCUAUUUGAGGAGAUGGAGGAGGCAGGAAUUGAGGCAGAUGGAGUCACAGUAGUUAAAGUUCUUUCAGCUUGUAUUCAGUACCGCGCGUUCGAUGCGGCAAAGAGGCUUCAUCAUCGUGUGAUGCAUAAUGAGCUGAUCACCACAGAUGCAAGACUUGCUACUGCCUUAGUUGACAUGUAUGCAAAGCAAGGGCUCAUACAGACAGCUAUGGAUGUGUUUUCUGGUGUGGAUGACAAAUUUAAGACCGUGGAGUUGUUCAAUGCUAUGAUAGGCGGACUAGCUCAUCACAAUUCUGGUGAGAAAGCUAUUAUGCUUUUUGAUGAAAUGAGAUCGCUCGGGCUCCAUCCUGAUAAGAUCACUUUCACAGCAGUUUUGUGUGCAUGCAGCCGUGGUGGCUUAGUGGCACAAGGGUUUGAGAUCUUUAAUUCGAUGGUGGGCAAGUAUGGUGUAGAACAAGAUAUUAAGCAUUAUGCUUGCAUGGCUGAUCUCCUAGCAAGAGAUGGGCGGCUUGACGAUGCUUACCGUUUUAUCCAGAACAUGCCUUUCAAAGCAAAUAGUGUGGUCUGGGCUUCUCUUAGGAGAGAAUGUGAGAUCCGUGGAAAUAUGAGGAUUGGAGAACUUGCAGAGGAGGAACUUCUUCGGUUUGAUCCUAGCUACAAACCUGAAACUGAAAGCCUCGUCUUGUCUGACAUAUUUUCAGAUGGAAGGAAACAGAAAAGGGCUGCAAUGGUGAGAAAGGUUAUAGGCCUCAAACCUAAGCAUAAGCGUACAAAG
rnacentral:rRNA from 1 species